GACGAACGCUGGCGGCGUGCUUAACACAUGCAAGUCGAACGGAAAGGCCCUGCUUUUGUGGGGUGCUCGAGUGGCGAACGGGUGAGUAACACGUGAGUAACCUGCCCUUGACUUUGGGAUAAAUUCAGGAAACUGGGGCUAAUACCGGAUAGGAGCUCCUGCUGCAUGGUGGGGGUUGGAAAGUUUCGGCGGUUGGGGAUGGACUCGCGGCUUAUCAGCUUGUUGGGGGGGUAGUGGCUUACCAAGGCUUUGACGGGUAGCCGGCCUGAGAGGGUGACCGGCGACAUUGGGACUGAGAGACGGCCCAGACUCCUACGGGAGGCAGAAGUGGGGAAUAUUGCACAAUGGGCGGAAGCGUGAUGCAGCAACGCCGCGUGCGGGAUGACGGCCUUCGGGUUGUAAACCGCUUUCGCCUGUGACGAAGCGUGAGUGACGGUAAUGGGUAAAGAAGCACCGGCUAACUACGUG
rnacentral:rRNA from 1 species